rnacentral:rRNA from 1 species
AUUGAACGCUGGCGGCAGGCCUAACACAUGCAAGUCGGACGGUAGCACAGAGAGCUUGCUCUCGGGUGACGAGUGGCGGACGGGUGAGUAAUGUCUGGGGAUCUGCCCGAUAGAGGGGGAUAACCACUGGAAACGGUGGCUAAUACCGCAUAACGUCGCAAGACCAAAGAGGGGGACCUUCGGGCCUCUCACUAUCGGAUGAACCCAGAUGGGAUUAGCUAGUAGGCGGGGUAAUGGCCCACCUAGGCGACGAUCCCUAGCUGGUCUGAGAGGAUGACCAGCCACACUGGAACUGAGACACGGUCCAGACUCCUACGGGAGGCAGCAGUGGGGAAUAUUGCACAAUGGGCGCAAGCCUGAUGCAGCCAUGCCGCGUGUAUGAAGAAGGCCUCCGGGUUGUAAAGUACUUUCAGCGGGGAGGAAGGCGAUGUGGUUAAUAACCGCAUUGAUUGACGUUACCCGCAGAAGAAGCACCGGCUAACUCCGUGCCAGCCGCCGCUGUAA